UACGUAGGGUGCGAGCGUUAAUCGGAAUUACUGGGCGUAAAGCGUGCGCAGGCGGUUCGUUGUGUCGGCGGUGAAAGCCCGGGGCUCAACCCCGGGUCGGCCGUGCCGACUGUAAGACUAGAGUGCUGUAGGGGCAGGCGGAAUUCCGGGUGUAGCGGUGGAAUGCGUAGAGAUCCGGAGGAAGACCGGUGGCGAAGGCGGCCUGCUGGGCAGUUACUGACACUGAGGCGCGACAGCGUGGGGAGCAAACAGG
rnacentral:rRNA from 1 species